rnacentral:rRNA from 1 species
GAUGACUGCUAGAUUGACGCUGGCGGCAGGCCUAACACAUGCAAGGCGAGCGGAUGAGUGGAGCUUGCUUCAAGAUUCAGCGGCGGACGGGUGAGUAAUGCCUAGGAAUCUGCCUGGUAGUGGGGGACAACGUUUCGAAAGGAACGCUAAUACCGCAUACGUCCUACGGGAGAAAGUGGGGGAUCUUCGGACCUCACGCUAUCAGAUGAGCCUAGGUCGGAUUAGCUAGUUGGUGAGGUAAAGGCUCACCAAGGCGACGAUCCGUAACUGGUCUGAGAGGAUGAUCAGUCACACUGGAACUGAGACACGGUCCAGACUCCUACGGGAGGCAGCAGUGGGGAAUAUUGGACAAUGGGCGAAAGCCUGAUCCAGCCAUGCCGCGUGUGUGAAGAAGGUCUUCGGAUUGUAAAGCACUUUAAGUUGGGAGGAAGGGCAGUAAGUUAAUACCUUGCUGUUUUGACGUUACCAACAGAAUAAGCACCGGCUAACUUCGUGCCAGCAGCCGCGGUAAUACGAAGGGUGCAAGCGUUAAUCGGAAUUACUGGGCGUAAAGCGCGCGUAGGUGGUUCGUUAAGUUGGAUGUGAAAGCCCCGGG